GGUGCUUCUCUCCUCAUACAGGAUUGCACAAUGUACUUGUGACAACCACAGUUGCUGUUUACAUGAAAAUGGAUUCUAGGAAAACACUCUGUAUUUCCAGAUGUCUUCAGUAGAACGUUUUCUUUCAGAUCUCAUUCUUUCCUUCUCCUCAGGAAAAUCCCCACAAAGUGCAUCCAUCAGUCUUUAUUUCUUGUUUUUCCUUGUUUUGUUUUUUUUUAAAGGACACUAAGUGUACUAGCACCCGUAACCUGUCAGCUUAUGAGAGGCCAGCACCACAUUCUUUGUAGUUCAACCAAGAACUUCAGACCACAAUUUGGCAGUUCCCAAAGCAGCCUACAACAGUAUCCUCACGUAUCUGGGCUGUAGUAACACAUUUCCCCUUGAAGCUCUGAAACUUAAUUUCUGCUGUCCUCUGACAACGCACUACCCUGGAGCCAUGUUACCUGGCAUUCUUUGGAGAUAAUUGCUGCCUGUGUGCUUUUUUCCACUGCGUGAACACCAGUAAACAGAAAACAGCUGAUUUUAGCCAUGGCCAUUUCAGCUUCUCCAGAUGCACAUUCUUAACCCCCUCGAAUACCUGAUAUUUUUGUUCUGUUCAGCUUUUCCCUAGCUUUAAUCUUUGUCCCUCUUACAGAAAACAUUACCAACUCCUAUGUUUUUGUGUUUCUACUUGUUUUCAUAGUCAUUCUAGCCGUAUGCUAACAAACAAAAACCAAUCCAAACAACCCCCCAAACCUACCCAAAACUCAAAAGCUCCCAUGCCUUUUCUGGAGAAAACGCCUUCUCCUAAAGAUGCAACUAGUCCUUUAAUCUGUGUGGACUGCAAAGUGUGUACAAUUCUCUUCCCUGGAAAGAAAAAACUCCAAACUUUUAAAGUGAUCUUAAUAGCUGGCAAGGAGAGCUGCAAUGUCAUUUGCGUAAUUGUCCUCUGGUCAGCUGGAAUUUGGAAGACUGCAGUUACCUCUCCUUGCUCAGCCUCCACCAGGGAUUCAUGGCUGCACAAAGGCUGCCUUUGCUAUCACCCUGGGAUGCCUGUAUAUCCUUCAGGUUUUUAAUAUGUCUUUCUGCUAUUAUCACAUUUAGUUUGGCUGAUAUUAAUAAAACCGGGAGUUUUGGUGGACCUUAUACACAUGUUUUAUUAAUCAAACAGUGCUGCAAUACAAAAAUGAUUGUGAUUAGUGUGACAAAGAAAUGGCAUCUGCUUAAUGCUUUGAGGAUCAGGUUAUCUUUGGGUUGAAACAAGAUGGAUUUGUCAGAAAUAAACCCACUGGACUGUGUUUUUUACACACAACAGUAGAGCAUAGUGUGCUGCUAAUGUUCAGGAAAUCAGCUUUCUCAGAGAAAAUAUUUAAGUGAAAAAAUAUAGCUAUUACUGUAUAAAACAGUAAUGUUUCCUAUUGGAGAACUCCACACCACUGGCUAAAGUGCAAAUUUAAGAACGUGCAAUGGGCCAGACAGAGAAUUUGGUCUGGCUUUGUGGUUGCUGCUCUGUAAACGGAUUUUAGCACUGCAGUCUAUUCUGCUCCGGCAGAUAAAUGGACCGUCAUAUAUACCGUCAGGCGGAAUUAAAGCCAAAUUUGGUUUUCCAAAAUUGUACCCAGUUUUCCCCUCCAGCUUGUGCCCUGCACCACUGCUCAGCACAAAAGAGGGAAGGCGGUAACAAAGCAUAACCAGGCUAAUUAGGUCAGAGCCAAGCCGGGCGCGAUGCGGCCACUGC
ensembl:lncRNA